AGUGCGGUGCGAGAGGGCCCAGUGGCAGAGGCCCAGCAAACAGCGCUUGUCAGGCGGACCUGAGUUCGAGUUCUGACUGUGCCAUCUACGCUAUGACUUUGGGGCAGGCGACCCACCCUCUGCGCCUCAUUAACCCAUGUACUGCAUGGAAAAUAAGCGUCUGCCUGGGUUAGAAGAGGGCUGUGUGUGAAGAUUCAAAGGACGAAGGGGAAGAGUCCUCGCUGGGCGCCCAGCACGCGGACCGCGGCGGCUAGGUCACCUCCUCCGGACGCCGACACGCGCUGCCCUGGCAACCGUCACCAGGGAAACAAGCGACGUCACUUGCGCGUUUUCAACGCUACUCUACGGGGGCCGAGGGGGCGCCAAGAGUUCUGAAAGUGACAGAGGCGCUGAUGGCGCGCUGGGCUGGAUCCAAGCGAGCACGAUCUCGAGUGCGCUGGAGAUUUUAAAUCUUCUGGAGUAUAUUUUUAAAAAAGUUUUGUGGACCAAACGUUCUGCACAGAGAUGCCCAUUCCGCUCUCCUGUUGGGGAGUUAAAAAGCGAACGAUCUCACCAUGAAAUUUAAAGUAGCCAUUCAGAUAUAUUUGAAAAAUGUAAAACAGUGUGGGGAAAGGCCAUGUUAUGAUGGUGAGUGAAGGAAGCAGGACGCAAUAUAGCAAUGCUAAAUAAAUAAAGUUGUGUUUAUUUCAAACUAGGCACUAAAACAAGACCGAAAUAGAAAUAUUAAAAGUGGUUAUAUUUGGGUGGUGGAAUAGCAGUGCUGUGUUUUUAUUUUUACACUUUAGAGAAUUUUUAAAAUAAUGAACAUCGUUUAUUUUCAUAAAGGAA
rnacentral:lncRNA from 1 species